rnacentral:lncRNA from 10 species
UGGGAUCCAGGAUGGAAUGCAGACUGUAAUAAAAAAUCUAAUCACAUCACAAUUAAGAACACAAUCUCCCUGAAGAGAAUGUGAGCUCUACAGUGUCAGGCGUCUUGGAACUGGAUCAUGGCUCUGGAGCUCUACAAUCAGCAUGAGGCAAAGCCAGAUAAGCCUGCGACCUGCUCUUCAGGGUGGUGAGAUCCUCCAGACUCCAGCACCCAGAGAUGCUCUCCUGAGGCCCAGACCACCACUGCCAGCCAUGGAGGAGGAGUGGCGUUGGCGAUUCAGGACUGCUUUUUCUGUCUCUUCAGUGCCUCUCUCAGCAACAUGAAGGUUACACCUGUGGCCACAUGGAGGAGUCCUAAAUGACCAACUGAAGGAGAAGCAAAAAACCGAAGCAUGGCUUAUAAUGGGCCUGCUCAGUGUUUAGGCGCCAGCCAAAAAUGGGCAGCAGCUACCUUGCAGCCACACUCCAGGGUGAACUUGCAAGACUUCAACAAAUGGUACAUCUGGUCAGGUACUUUGUGUAGAAGGAAAAAUGAUCUGAGGUGAGCUGAAAUUAUUUUGAUUUUUAUCUGACAGAGGACAGGAGCCACAUUUUAAUCAUUUCCACAUCCCUACCACCAAAGAAGGACUCCACAAAUGUCUGUAUUUGAAUAGAGUGCCUAUUUAUGAUUAUCUCAUUGAAUAGAAAUAUAUUUGCCAUUUUAACAGAGAGUAAUGUAAUGAUGUCUUCUUACUUCCUACCUCCAAGUUUUUAUAAUCUUGGUAAUAAAGGCAAAGGCAUAAGAUGACUUGCCUGAAGACAAAUGUAGUUGUAAUAGCAUUUCACUUAGGUUUGAGUGAGUAUGUCUGUCCUAAGAGUUUUUGUGAACUAUAAACCUCUUUAGAAGAAGAGACUUUCAAUAUAGAAUUUUUCUUAUCCCCCCUCCCCCCAAAAAAAAGCAUAAAAAUGAAACAUAAAUAAAAUGCUCUAUCCAUGAGGGACUGAACUUAGAAUGUAGAUCCUCUGAUUCAAGGUUGGAUGCUAGACUACCCCCACUGGGCUUUGGAGAAAUCCAAGUGCAGUAACAGAAAAUAGCUCUUGACAGCUUCUCAGUACCUUUGACUGCUGGGUGCAAAGAACCCAGCUCGUCAUUAUGCUUUCCAGAGAGGGAGCUGGAGUUGGAGAGCAUAGUCUCCACUUUCCUGUUGGUAAUUUCUAUUCCUAUGGAGCAAAGGAAUGACAGUGACCUAUAAGGUCCCUGGUGGUGUGAGACUAGGGCCAGAAAGUCAGUGAGAAAAAGAACACUGAGUUAGUUUGAUUCUAUAUGGAAGGGAUGAAAAAUGUAAGAAAG